CCUACGGGAGGCAGCAGUGGGGAAUUUUGGACAAUGGGCGCAAGCCUGAUCCAGCCAUGCCGCGUGUGGGAAGAAGGCCUUCGGGUUGUAAACCACUUUUGUCAGGGAAGAAACGGCUUUUUCUAAUACAGAGAGCUAAUGACGGUACCUGAAGAAUAAGCACCGGCUAACUACGUGCCAGCAGCCGCGGUAAUACGUAGGGUGCAAGCGUUAAUCGGAAUUACUGGGCGUAAAGCGUGCGCAGGCGGCUUUGCAAGACAGAUGUGAAAUCCCGGGCUCAACCUGGGAACUGCAUUUGUGACUGCAUGGCUAGAGUACGGUAGAGGGGGAUGGAAUUCCGCGUGUAGCAGUGAAAUGCGUAGAUAUGCGGAGGAACACCGAUGGCGAAGGCAAUCCCCUGGACCUGUACUGACGCUCAUGCACGAAAGCGUGGGGAGCAAACAGGAUUAGAUACCCUGGUAGUCCACGCCCUAAACGAUGUCAACUGGUNUUGGCGGCUUGNUGUNUAGUACGAGACGACGCGUGAGUAGACGCGUGGUAGGUACGGUUCGCGAGUUAGUUAACGUACGAAGGAAGUUAGAGGCGNGAGACGNGCGACGGACGACGACGAGGGAGGAGG
rnacentral:rRNA from 1 species